rnacentral:misc_RNA from 1 species
GAAAUGCGAUAAGUAAUGUGAAUUGCAGAAUUCAGUGAAUCAUCGAAUCUUUGAACGCACAUUGCGCCCGCCAGUAUUCUGGCGGGCAUGCCUGUUCGAGCGUCAUUACAACCCUCAGGCCCCCGGGCCUGGCGUUGGGGAUCGGCGGAAGCCCCCUGCGGGCACAACGCCGUCCCCCAAAUACAGUGGCGGUCCCGCCGCAGCUUCCAUUGCGUAGUAGCUAACACCUCGCAACUGGAGAGCGGCGCGGCCACGCCGUAAAACACCCAACUUCUGAAUGUUGACCUCGAAUCAGGUAGGAAUACCCGCUGAACUUAAGA